rnacentral:lncRNA from 1 species
AUGCCUCUGUAUAACUUUAUGGGUCACUUCUCAUCCUCUUUCGAGGUAUUUCCUUUCCUUUCCUUUCCUUUCCCUUCAAGACCCAGUCCAAAGUUCCCUUCCACAGUGCUGUCUCGAAGCCCUGGCUUGCAGGUGGGUUCUGCUUCCCUUCAACUACCUAGUCCACAGCACAUGUCACUGCAGCUCAAAGGGAGGAGAGUCUUAGGUGUCAAGCGGGCUAUCUUACCACUCAAGGUAAGAUAUUCAGUCCAAGUCCAGCGUCACAACAGAAGACUUGAGUUAGCUCUUUUGGGAACCAAUAUAGCCCAUGGUUAUUACAGUCCACAUCAAUAUUGUUGUUGUUCAGUUCACAAACUGGUUGCAACUCUCCAUGACCUCAUGGAUUACAGCACACAAGGCUUCUCUGUCCCUCAUCAUCUCCUGGAGUUUGCCCAAGUUCAUGUCCAGUGAAUCAGUGAUGCCAUCCUGCCUUCUCAUCCUCUGUUGCCCUCCUCUUCUUCUGCCCUCAAAUUUUCCAAGCAUCAGGGUCUCUUCAUAUGAGUCAGCUGUUCACAUCAGUGGCCAAAGUAUAGGAGCUUCAGCUUCAGCAUCAGUUGUUCCAAAGAAUAUUCAGGGUUGAUUUCCCUAAAGAUUGACUAGUUUGAUCUCCUUGCUUUCCAAGGGACUCGGUUAUUAAAAUGAUUAGCAAUGAGAGUUUAAACAUUUUUCUUUCAUGCAACAGUGAAGUCAUGCCUUUCUUAUCUCCCCCAUAGCGUACUUGUGAGAAACUGACUUUCAGAUGGAAUGUAGGACUUGGAAUUAGGCAUUCUUUCAGGAAUCAUUAAUUGUCCAUCUAACCUGUAUUCAGCAUUCUUCUGUAUCUUUUCCAUAAAUAAAAGACAGUCUUUGUUUUCUAGGAGCAAACAGCAUUACAAGAUCAUUUGUCUGCUCCUUUUUAUUAGAAUAACGAUGUCAGCAUAGUAAAACCUUUUUGCUGUUGUACUCAUUCUUUCAUCCAGUGUUUUUAUGGCCUCUCCCAGCUUACUACCAUUAAAGAAUCAGAAAAUGUCCUUUAUGGUUUCAUCAAAAACAUUGCUUAAAAACUAGCAAACAGUUCAGGACUAAGGACAAAACUCUCUGGUGCCUGGAAACAAAAAUUCAAGUCCCGUUUAGCUCAAACUUUUAAUAAAUCUCUUGUGUGUGCUCAGUGCUGUCGCGUCUAACUCUUUGUGACCCCAUAGACUGUAACCCACCAGGCUCCUCUGUCCAUGGGAUUUCCAGGCAAGAAUACUGGAGUGGGUUGCAAUUUCCUCCUCCAGGAGAUCUUCCCGACCCAGGGACCAAACCCACAUCUCCUAUGUCUCCUACGUUGGCAGGUAGAUUCUUUACUGCUGAAUCAUCUGGGAAGCCCAACCUUGUAUUAAAAACUUUGCAAGGCAGUGGGAUUCAGAGAUUAAUCAGGUACAGCCACAAUGCUCUAAGAACUCCCCAAAUAUGGCUGUGAUAGGGACACAGCACACACGCACAGUUUAACAUGUCAAUGACCACUGGCCAUGUCUAGAUCAUAUUUCUUCCUUGGUCCCCAAGAUCUUCAGAGAAUUAUCCUUCAUGUCCAAGUUGCACACACAGAGAAGGCUAAGACUUAUUUGGAACCUAGGAUAGCAAAAUAUUUCCUAGAUCAUGAUUGCCUUUUGCCUUGGGCCACAUCUGUCCAGACUGAAUUUACUCCAAUGGGAUAGCUAUUACAGAGGCACUCCUUCAGCACUGUAAUCUAAUGAGAUGGCUUUGGAUACUAUUAAAAGUUAAAUCAGUCGAUAAAUGAAAUAUUAAAAUCACCAGAGAAUAGGCCCUAUGCACAAAAUAUUAAUACCACAAGCUUGAAAUCAAAUGCUGAACAUGAAUUUAGCCAAAGCCAUUAAAACAAGACUCUGGACUCUAGACUGAAACUUGGAGCUGUGCCUGAGGAGAGUUUUGCAAAAGCUGGAUUUUUCCUCUUGUAAGAGCCUUGGUGUGAGGGAGCUACAUGUUGAUGGCUCUCUUAGGACGUUAAUUCUGGGAAAACCCCUGGGAACUCAUAGCACUUAGGAAAUGAUGGAUCAAGUCACAAGGCAAGUGCUUUAUCUAGUAGGCUGUGCUUUAUCACUAGAUUGUGAUGUCUGUAAGGAUAGGAAACGGGUCUCACCCAGCUCUGGAUACCCAGCUCGGAGCCAGCAUCUGCCACAGCAUAGAUGCUCGCCACAUGUUAUGUUCAACCUCAUUUUCCACAAUAUUCUCUCUCUCCCUCCCUACCCCUCUCUCUCUCUUUCUCUCUGUCUCAACAUCUCUUUCUCUCUCUCUCCCUCCCUUCCUCCUUUCUCUCUCUGGAUUCCACAAGAGUUCCCUAGCAAAGGUGUAUGCAUCUUUCUUGGCCUGCUCGCUUCAUCCUGUCUCUUCCGAGAAUCAUCUCUGGUCCCUAUGUCAGAGCCACUCUCUCCUCUGCAGCUGAUCCCUUUGCCCAUGGCUUGAGGUAUGGACAUUCACUGGACCAUUUUUCCAGCCUGCCGUGAAUUACAGUUACCUGUACAAACAAGUGUCACUGCCGUUUUUUAGGUUCUCCAAGAUUCUGACUCUGAGAUAAGGGUCAGAAGUCACAAGUUCAAAUGGUUUAUUAGGCAGGUAGAGAGAAUAUUGGAAUGGAAGUGGGCUAGUGUUGCAGGAAGGUGUGGCAGUCAAUAAAAAGCAUUAUAUUAAGCCAGUUACCAGGUGACUGGUGCUUCAUCUCAAGAGAAAAUUCUGGAAAAUGGUAUAAAACACACCCCUAUGAGCCCACCUGAGGGGCAUGGCAGCUGGGAUAUUUAUACACCAACUUCCAGAAAUAUAUAUUUGAGGGUUGCUCCCAAAGGCUGCUUCCUAGCAUGUCCAAAUUAUCAGUAACAAGAAGAGAGCAUCCUUCUGUAAACCCAAGGGAAAAAAUCAGCCAUGUGUCCUCCCCAAAUUCAUAUGUUGAAACUGUAACCCCUCAUUUGACUGUAUUUUGAGAUAGAGCUUUUAAGAGGCAAUUUCAGUUAAACAAGUUGCAAGGGUGGGGUCCUAGCCCAAUAGGAUUAGUGGCCUUAAAAGAAGUGGAACAGAGAGAUCUCUGUCUCCACGGGCACACAACAAGGAAAGGUAGGUGAGAAUACAGAGAGAGACAGCCAUCUGCAAGGAAGAGAACACUCAACAGAAAAUAAAUGGGCAGGAACCUUGAGCUUGGACUUCUUACCAUCCAGAACUGUGAAAAAAAUAAAUUUCUAUUGUUGCAGCCACCGAGUGUAAGGUACUCUGUUAUAAGAGAGUAAAUGGACUAAGACAGGAGUUCACUGAAAGGUCAGAGAAACCUGGGAGGGGCACUGAACACAUCUAUUUCUGUGCCUCUUACAAGGCUGAGCCCAAGGCAGGGACGAUGCAAUGCUGAAUUCCCUGAACCCACCAACUAAAGACAGAAGAGAAGCAGCACUUACUGGGCACUCACCACAUGUCAGGUACCAUGCCAGACAUUGUAAAAAUCUACUUUAUUAUGGUGUCACUUACAUACAAUCAAAUGCACACAUGUUAAGCAUAUAGUUUGGUAAAUGCUGGCAAAUGUGUAUGCCUACAUAACUAUCCCCCACAAUAAAGAGACAGAAAAUUUCCAUCACCAAAAAGUCCCAGGUGUCCC